GUGCACUUUUAUUUUAUUCACUUUCAUCACACAUCUUGUUUAUUUAUUUCAAUAUGUACUAAGACUUGUUGAGUCUGGUCAAGCACAUUAUGUUUCUGUAGUCAAAAGUGAAAUUACAUAACUAUAAUUAAAUAAACCAUUCUUUUCUAUAAAGAUUUUAUUUUUAUUUUUACAUAACACAAAACAAUUAAAAGUUCUCAAUACUUCAUCAGUAUUCUAUAAAAUAUAAAUAAGACUGUUCUGUAGCAUUGCCGCCGCCAUAUUUCUUUACCCAUCUUUCUACAAAUUCUCUCUUUCUUAUAUCACGUCUGGCAAAAUAAUCUGGUAAAGUCCUUCUCCCUUGGUGCCACAUGAUCCAAUAACUAAAAGAAAAAGUAUAUAAUCAUUCAAUCAUUUAAUAGAAGACUUUCUAAUUCAUAGCUUAAAACUGAUUUUU
rnacentral:lncRNA from 1 species